GCAUCGCCCCACGUUAGAGGUGUUCCGAGACUGUUCAGUCGAUGGAAUUAAACGGGAAGUCGGUGCGCUGGUCCAGAAACCUGGACCCCCUAUUCCGACGCUGCCCCCGCAACGGUAAGCAAGACAAACCUGGCAAGACAGCCACUGUGCUCACGCAUGGGAAGGCGCCAGGCAGAAGAAGCCCUUUCUUCACUUGCGAGCCCGGAGACCGGCCUGUGACGACAUGUGCGG
rnacentral:ncRNA from 2 species